UACGGGGGGGGCAAGCGUUGUUCGGAAUUACUGGGCGUAAAGGGCUCGUAGGUGGCCGACUAAGUCAGACGUGAAAUCCCUCGGCUUAACCGGGGAACUGCGUCUGAUACUGGAUGGCUUGAGUUCGGGAGAGGGAUGCGGAAUUCCAGGUGUAGCGGUGAAAUGCGUAGAUAUCUGGAGGAACACCGGUGGCGAAGGCGGCAUCCUGGACCGACACUGACGCUGAGGAGCGAAAGCCAGGGGAGCAAACGGG
rnacentral:rRNA from 1 species